GGCCAAUCCACCAAAUGUGAAAAGCGAGCAAUUAGGAUAUAAUAAUAAAUAAGCCACGACCCUGAAUCACUCAGUAAUUCAUCACAUAAUAAUAGAUUAGCCACGAACACGACCCUAUAUUGAAAUCAGAAGUCGAAACAAAACAGGUUAGCCGCGACCCUAAAUCGAAGCAGCAUAGUUCAGGAUUACAAUACCAACCGACGUAACAGCAGCGAAAUCACCAGAUCUACUAGAUCUCUCAAUUAACCAAAUCAUCACGAACGCGAGACCGGAACCGGCAGCCCAUACCUGCGGCUUACCGGGCGGGAGGGAGAAGAGAG